AACGAACGCUGGCGGCAGGCUUAACACAUGCAAGUCGAGCGCCUCGCAAGAGGAGCGGCAGACGGGUGAGUAACACGUGGGAAUCUACCCAUCCCUACGGAACAACUCCGGGAAACUGGAGCUAAUACCGUAUACGCCCUUCGGGGGAAAGAUUUAUCGGGGAUGGAUGAGCCCGCGUUGGAUUAGCUAGUUGGUGGGGUAAAGGCCUACCAAGGCGACGAUCCAUAGCUGGUCUGAGAGGAUGAUCAGCCACAUUGGGACUGAGACACGGCCCAAACUCCUACGGGAGGCAGCAGUGGGGAAUAUUGGACAAUGGGCGCAAGCCUGAUCCAGCCAUGCCGCGUAAGUGAUGAAGGCCUUAGGGUUGUAAAGCUCUUUCACCGAUGAAGAUAAUGACGGUAGUCGGAGAAGAAGCCCCGGCUAACUUCGUGCCAGCAGCCGCGGUAAGAC
rnacentral:rRNA from 1 species